ensembl:rRNA 5S_rRNA 5S ribosomal RNA
GCUUACGGCCAUACCACCCUGAGAACGCCCGAUCUCGUCUGAUCUCGGAAGCUAAGCAGGGUCGGGCCUGGUUAGUACUUGGAUGGGACACCGCCUGGGAAUACCAGGUGCUGUAAGCU